GUAGGGAAUCUUGCGCAAUGGGCGAAAGCCUGACGCAGCCAUGCCGCGUGAAUGAUGAAGGUCUUAGGAUUGUAAAAUUCUUUCACCGGGGACGAUAAUGACGGUACCCGGAGAAGAAGCCCCGGCUAACUUCGUGCCAGCAGCCGCGGUAAUACGAAGGGGGCUAGCGUUGCCCGGAAUUACUGGGCGUAAAGGGAGCGUAGGCGGAUAGUUUAGUCAGAGGUGAAAGCCCAGGGCUCAAACAUGGAAGUGCCUUUGAUACUGGCUAUCUUGAGUAUGGAAGAGGUAUGUGGAACUCCGAGUGUAGAGGUGAAAUUCGUAGAUAUUCGGAAGAACACCAGUGGCGAAGGCGACAUACUGGUCCAUUACUGACGCUGAGGCUCGAAAGCGUGGGGAGCAAACAGGAUUAGAAACCCUUGUAGUCC
rnacentral:rRNA from 1 species